AUCCCGUGGGUUGAGCGAUGC
rnacentral:miRNA from 1 species